CACACGGAGCACAGAACUGUAGACCGCUCACCCCAGGGGACCCCGCCCUGAGCUGGGAGAGGUCCCGGGCAGCUGCCAUGGGCCCCAGGCUCCUCUGCUGUGUGGCCCUUUGUCUCCUGGGAGCAGGCCCAGUAGACUCUGGAGUCACGCAGACCCCAAAACACGUGGUCAAGGCAAGAAAACAGCAAGUGACACUGAAGUGUUCCUAUAUCUCUGGACACCAAUCUAUGUUUUGGUACAAACAGGUUCAGGGUCAGGGCCCUGAUUUACUGGUUGAGUACUACAUUGGGCUAGCUCGAGGAAAAGGGAACCUGCCUGAUCGGUUCUCAGUGCAGCAGUUUGAUGGCUACCGCUCCGAGCUGACCGCGAGCUCGCUGGAGCUGAGCGACUCGGCCCUGUAUCUCUGCGCCAGCAGCCCUGACACAGCCCUGCAGGCGCGGCAGCCUCCUGCACAGAAACACUCCGCCCCGCUCAGGAAGCGGCAGCUGCCAGCCACACAGGCUCAGGCCUGA